rnacentral:rRNA from 1 species
GACGAACGCUGGCGGCGUGCCUAAUACAUGCAAGUAGAACGCUGAAGGAAGGAGCUUGCUCUUUCCGGAUGAGUUGCGAACGGGUGAGUAACGCGUAGGUAACCUGCCUGGUGGCGGGGGAUAACUAUUGGAAACGAUAGCUAAUACCGCAUAACAGUAGAUGUUGCAUGAUAUCUACUUAAAAGGUGCAAUUGCACCACUACCAGAUGGACCUGCGUUGUAUUAGCUAGUUGGUGAGGUAACGGCUCACCAAGGCGACGAUACAUAGCCGACCUGAGAGGGUGAUCGGCCACACUGGGACUGAGACACGGCCCAGACUCCUACGGGAGGCAGCAGUAGGGAAUCUUCGGCAAUGGACGGAAGUCUGACCGAGCAACGCCGCGUGAGUGAAGAAGGUUUUCGGAUCGUAAAGCUCGGUUGUAAGAGAAGAACGAGUGUGAGAGUGGAAAGUUCACACUGUGACGGUAUCUUACCAGAAAGGGACGGCUAACUACGUG